rnacentral:rRNA from 1 species
UACAGAGGUCCCGAGCGUUGUUCGGAUUCACUGGGCGUAAAGGGUGCGUAGGUGGUGGGGUAAGUCUCGUGUGAAAGCUCGCAGCUUAACUGCGAAAAGUCACGGGAUACUAUUCCGCUGGAGGCUUGGAGGGGGGACUGGAAUACUUGGUGUAGCAGUGAAAUGCGUAGAUAUCAAGUGGAACACCAGUGGCGAAGGCGAGUCCCUGGACGAGACCUGACACUGAGGCGCGAAAGCGUGGGGAGCGAUCCGG